CAGCGCUGGUUCCUCCUCUUUCUGGUGGCAGCUCCCACAUGUGUCCUGUCCCAGAUACAGCUGCAGGAGUCAGGACCAAGCCUGGUGAUGCCCUCGAAGAUGCUGUCCCUCACCUGCUCGGUCUCUGGAUUCUCAUUAACCAGCAGCAUCUAUGCUGCGCACUGGGUCCGCCAGGCCCCUGGAAAGGAGCUGGAUUUGAUUGGUCGUAUACGGUAUGAUGGAGACACAAAGUAUAAUCCAAGUCUUCAGUCCCGAGUCAGCAUCUCCUGGGACACCGCCAAGAGCCAAGUUUACCUAAAACUGAGCAACUCUGUAACUGAGGACACAGCCGUGUAUUAUUGUUCAAUAACCACAGUGAGGUACCAAAUCCCCACAGAGUCCCACACCCUGCUGUGA